GUGCUCGGUUCAGUAGCUCAUCUACAAAAAAUUAGAAUGAUACAGAGAAGAUUAGCACAGCUUCUGUACAAUGAUAACAUGCAAAUUUGUGAAGCAUUCCAUAUAUUU